GAUGAACGCUGGCGGCGUGCCUAAUACAUGCAAGUCGAGCGAACAGACGAGGAGCUUGCUCCUCUGACGUUAGCGGCGGACGGGUGAGUAACACGUGGAUAACCUACCUAUAAGACUGGGAUAACUUCGGGAAACCGGAGCUAAUACCGGAUAAUAUAUUGAACCGCAUGGUUCAAUAGUGAAAGACGGUUUUGCUGUCACUUAUAGAUGGAUCCGCGCCGCAUUGGCUAGUUGGUAAGGUAACGGCUUACCAAGGCGACGAUGCGUAGCCGGCCUGGGAGGGUGAUCGGCCCCACUGGACUUGAGACACGGUCCAGACUCCUAGGGGAGGCAGCAGUAGGGAAUCUUCGGAAAUGGGCGAAAGCCUGACGGAGCAACGCCGCGUGAGUGAUGAAGGUCUUCGGAUCGUAAAACUCGGUUAUUAGGGAAGAACAAAUGUGUAAGUAAAUAUGCACGUCUUGACGGUACCUAAUCAGAAAGCCACGGCUAACUACGUG
rnacentral:rRNA from 1 species